rnacentral:rRNA from 1 species
UACGGGGGGAGCAAGCGUUGUUCGGAUUUACUGGGCGUAAAGGGCGCGUAGGCGGCCUCCGCAAGUCAGUUGUGAAAUCUCCGAGCUUAACUCGGAAAGGUCAACUGAAACUGUGCGACUAGAGUGCGGAAGGGGCAACUGGAAUUCUUGGUGUAGCGGUGAAAUGCGUAGAUAUCAAGAGGAACACCUGCGGCGAAGGCGGGUUGCUGGGCCGACACUGACGCUGAAGCGCGAAAGCCAGGGGAGCGAACGGG